rnacentral:rRNA from 1 species
CCUACGGGAGGCAGCAGUGAGGAAUAUUGGUCAAUGGGCGGGAGCCUGAACCAGCCAAGUCGCGUGAGGGACGACGGUCCUAUGGAUUGUAAACCUCUUUUGUCGGGGAACAAAGGCGCCCACGGGUGGGCGGAUGAGUGUACCCGAAGAAAAAGCAUCGGCUAACUCCGUGCCAGCAGCCGCGGUAAUACGGAGGAUGCGAGCGUUAUCCGGAUUCAUUGGGUUUAAAGGGUGCGUAGGUUGUUUUAUAAGUUAGCGGUGAAAUACCGAUGCUCAACAUCGGGGCUGCCGCUAAUACUGUAGGACUAGAGAUCGGAUGCAGCAGGCGGAAUGUGUAGUGUAGCGGUGAAAUGCAUAGAUAUUACACAGAACACCGAUUGCGAAGGCAGCUUGCUAGGCCGGAUCUGACACUGAUGCACGAAAGCGUGGGGAUCGAACAGGAUUAGAUACCACAGUAGUC